rnacentral:rRNA from 1 species
GUUGUAUGGUUAAGUGACUAAGCGUACACGGUGGAUGCCUUGGCAGUCAGAGGCGAUGAAAGACGUAAUAACUUGCGAUAAGCCCAGAUUAGGUAGUAAUAACCAUUUGAGUCUGGGAUUUCUGAAUGGGGAAACCCACGUGCAUAAGCACGUAUCGUUAUGUGAAUACAUAGCAUAACGAGGCAAACCCGGGGAACUGAAACAUCUAAGUACCCGGAGGAAGAGAAAUCAACCG